UGAGCUUAUUUUUGUCUUCCUUCUUCCAAGUUAAUUUUUUGAUGGAAAAUUAUUACUCCUCCCUAAAUGGGAGUCUGAAAAAUAAAACCAGGUCCUAUAAUUGCUAGUGCUCUCCAUACCAGUCAGUGGCGCUCUGGGCUGAGGACAGAUAAAUAACAGUUGCCUGCAUCCUGUGUUCAGGGUUAACAAAAGGUGGUGGGAACUUUCUACAAAUACAAGAUGCACUUUGCAUACGACAGCAGACGUGCAGGCUGGAAACUGAACGUGGUACCUCGGAGUCUCUGGCUGCUGAUGGGAUGAGCCCUGGGCUCUCGGGGCUGGUUGCUGUGCGCAGCCGAGGUUUCUCCUUUGAGCCACGCAGGCUGCAGAUCGUGUACGGCCCCGAGAUCCCGCCGAACGUUUUCUCAGCGCUUCAGUGCCGUACUCUGCAGCCAAGACACCUCACCCCGUGCUGAGCCCCGUGACUGCUAACCAGACUAAGCAGGUAACUUGCCAAGUUUUGCUUUGCUCACGUGACAUGCAGUGACUGCCUUUGUCCCUGAAGACAGUACUCUUUGAAGUCCUUAUGUUGAUGAAAUGACCCGUAAGUCCGACAAAGGCUUGGGAUACUUUCCCCACAGUUUAUACCAGGCUUUGUGUAGUAGGUCGGUCAGGACCUGACACUGUCUUUGGGGGCCGUUUGACAUUCUGCAUCUAGUCAUCUCCAGUCAUAGCUCUGAUACCUUGUAUUCGUAUGGGCAGUCUGGGUUGGAAUUUACUUUCAUUUAACCCGCCUCAGUUAACCCAGACUGCUGCCCCAUGCAGUAGACCAGACAGGUGUUCGGGUAUGUUCCAUUAAUGAAGGCUCAGGGGACUGACGCAGGCUGACCAGAGCCGGAACCCAAGUCAUCCGCCUUCUUCCUGUCUCCCGCUUUGUUCAUUGUCCCUUUCGGUAUCAGCCUCUGGGGAAUCGGGUCUCAUGCUUUCUUCUGCAACCUCGGUUUUUCAGACCUUGCAUAUUCAGUGAUUUUGUUAUGUCUACUUUCUGGCUUUUGCCUGGUAAACAUUGUCUCUUACAAAACUAGGUUAUGUUAUAAACAGUUGAGCAAAUCCGGAAGAAAAUGAUAGGAGAUGGCUGAAAGGUAGACCAGUGUUUCUCUGAAACUUUCCCGAGAGAACUUGGUUCCUCUGCUGCUCUAAUAUCUGUCUCUAGAAAAGUGAUUUUAGAUCAUGUUUGAGAUUGAACCUCAGAACCUGCCAUAGUGAGUUCUCAGACUUGGCAUCCUGCUCCUUAGUUUGCCGUGACUUAUCAUAGCAUUUAAACUAUUAGCAUUUAGUGUUUCUUCUGGAAGUUUCAUGUUCAGAUAAGGGGACCCAUGGUAAAGCGUAAAUCAUGACAAACGAGAGUAAAAGAACAUCGACUGGAGAUGGAUAAGU
rnacentral:lncRNA from 1 species